rnacentral:tRNA from 1 species
GGGGAUGUAGCUCAGCUGGGAGAGCGCCUGCUUUGCAAGCAGGAGGGCAGGGGUUCGAGUCCCCUCAUCUCCACCC